GGCUCUCGGGCCCGAGUUGUAAUUUGUAGAGGAUACUUUUGAUGCGGUGCCUUCCGAGUUCCCUGGAACGGGACGCCAUAGAGGGUGAGAGCCCCGUCUGGUUGGAUGCCAAAUCUCUGUAAAGUUCCUUCGACGAGUCGAGUAGUUUGGGAAUGCUGCUCUAAAUGGGAGGUAUAUGUCUUCUAAAGCUAAAUACCGGCCAGAGACCGAUAGCGCACAAGUAGAGUGAUCGAAAGAUGAAAAGCACUUUGAAAAGAGAGUUAAAAAGUACGUGAAAUUGUUGAAAGGGAAGCGUUUAUGACCAGACUUGGGCUUGGUUAAUCAUCUGGGGUUCUCCCCAGUGCACUUUUCCAGUCCAGGCCAGCAUCAGUUUUCGCCGGGGGAUAAAGACUUCGGGAAUGUGGCUCUCUUCGGGGAGUGUUAUA
rnacentral:rRNA from 1 species